UUAGUUGCGGAUGUAGCAUCAUCAAGAUUCACAUACAAACGCAGGUAGGUGGAAUGUGAUGCAAUCUUAGUUUGCUCUAUGCUAUGCCAUAGGUCUUUUGAAGUGAGAAUCUUGAUGAUGCUGCAUCAGCCAUAAA
rfam:Lupinus angustifolius cultivar Tanjil chromosome LG08, whole genome shotgun sequence.